AUACGGAGGAUCCGAGCGUUAUCCGGAUUUAUUGGGUUUAAAGGGUGCGCAGGCGGCCAUUUAAGUCAGCGGUUAAAUCGUGGGGCUCAACCCCAUUCUGCCGUUGAUACUGGGUGGCUUGAUUGCGGUCGAGGUUGGCGGAAUUCGUUGUGUAGCGGUGAAAUGCAUAGAUAUGACGAAGAACACCGAUUGCGUAGGCAGCUGACCAGAUCGCAAAUGACGCUCAUGCACGAAAGUGCGGGGAUCGAACAGGAUUAGAUACCCUGGUAGUCCGCACAGUAAACGAUGAAUACUCGCUGUUUGCGAUAUACAGUAAGCGGCCAAGCGAAAGCAUUAAGUAUUCCACCUGGGGAGUACGCCGGCAACGGUGAAACUCAAAGGAAUUGGCGGGG
rnacentral:rRNA from 1 species